GCAAACUUGGUCAUUUAGAGGAAGUAAAAGUCGUAACAAGGUCUCCGUAGGUGAACCUGCGGAGGGAUCAUUAACGAGUUAGGGCCUCUGGCCCGACCUCCAACCCUUUGUUUCCAAACCUCGUUGCCUCGGGGGUGGCCUCGCCUCACGGCUGGUCCCCCGGAGGACUACUACAACUCUGCAUUUGAAUGUCGUCUGAGUGAAGAUUUUAAUCAAAUCAAAACUUUCAACAACGGAUCUCUUGGUUCUAGCAUCGAUGAAGAACGCAGC
rnacentral:misc_RNA from 1 species